rnacentral:rRNA from 1 species
UACGUAGGGUGCGAGCGUUAAUCGGAAUUACUGGGCGUAAAGCGUGCGCAGGCGGUUUUGUAAGCCAGAUGUGAAAUCCCCGGGCUUAACCUGGGAAUGGCAUUUGGGACUGCAAGGCUUGAGUGCGGCAGAGGAGGGUAGAAUUCCACGUGUAGCAGUGAAAUGCGUAGAGAUGUGGAGGAAUACCGAUGGCGAAGGCAGCCCCCUGGGAUAACACUGACGCUCAUGCACGAAAGCGUGGGGAGCAAACAGG